rnacentral:rRNA from 1 species
UGGGGAAUCUUGAGACUAUGGGGGAAACCUCUGAUCCAGCGACGCCGCGUGCGGGACGAAGCUCUUCGGGGUGUAAACCGCUGUGGCGGGGGAAGAAUAAGGUAGGGAGGAAAUGCCCUACCGAGACGGUACCCCG